AACGAACGCUGGCGGCAUGCCUAACACAUGCAAGUCGAACGAUGCCUUCGGGCAUAGUGGCGCACGGGUGCGUAACGCGUGGGAAUCUGCCUUUCGGUUCGGAAUAACUCAGGGAAACGUGAGCUAAUACCGGAUAACGUCGCAAGACCAAAGAUUUAUCACCGAAAGAUGAGCCCGCGUAGGAUUAGCUAGUUGGUGAGGUAAAGGCUCACCAAGGCGACGAUCCUUAGCUGGUCGGAGAGGAUGAUCAGCAACACUGGGACUGAGACACGGCCCAGACUCCUCCGGACGGCAGCAGUGGGGAUUAUGGCACACUGGGUGAAAGACUGAUCCCGCAAGGCCGCGUGAGUGAUGAAGGCCUUAGGGUUGUAAAGCUCUUUUACCCGGGAAGAUAAUGACGGUACCGGGAGAAUAAGCCCCGGCUACCUCCGU
rnacentral:rRNA from 1 species